rnacentral:tRNA from 1 species
UCCAUGUGGCUCAGACGGUAAAGCGUCUGCCUACAAUGCAGGAGAACCAGGUUCAAUCCCUGGCUUGAGAA